rnacentral:rRNA from 1 species
GACGAACGCUGGCGGCGUGCUUAACACAUGCAAGUCGAACGGAAAGGCCCUGCUUUUGUGGGGUGCUCGAGUGGCGAACGGGUGAGUAACACGUGAGUAACCUGCCCUUGACUUUGGGAUAACUUCAGGAAACUGGGGCUAAUACCGGAUAGGAGCUCCUGCUGCAUGGUGGGGGUUGGAAAGUUUCGGCGGUUGGGGAUGGACUCGCGGCUUAUCAGCUUGUUGGUGGGGUAGUGGCUUACCAAGGCUUUGACGGGUAGCCGGCCUGAGAGGGUGACCGGCCACAUUGGGACUGAGAGACGGCCCAGACUCCUACGGGGGGCAGCAGUGGGGAAUAUUGCGCAAUGGGCGGAAGCCUGAGGCAGCAACGCCGCGUGCGGGAUGACGGCCUUCGGGUUGUAAACCGCUUUCGCCUGUGACGAAGCGUGAGUGAGGGUAAUGGGUAAAGAAGCACCGGCUAACUACGUG